GGCGUGGUGGUGAAAUGGUUGAACACACAGGCCUUUCAAGCCUGGAUAUGCGGGUUCGAAUCCCGUCCACGUCA
rnacentral:tRNA from 1 species